CAGGACGACGCUGGCGGCGUGCCUAACACAUGCAAGUCGAGCGGGGACAUUGCGACGGACAUGAAGAUUCGGUUGGAUUGAAAGAUGUAAUGUUCUAGCGGCGGACGGGUGAGUAACGCGUGAGCAACCUGUCCCUUACAGGGGGAUAACACAGCGAAAGUUGUACUAAUACCGCAUAAGACCACAGAGUGACAUCACUUAGGGGUCAAAGGAGUAAUCCGGUAAGGGGUGGGCUCGCGUCCGAUUAGAUAGUUGGUGAGGUAACGGCCCACCAAGUCGACGAUCGGUAGCCGACCUGAGAGGGUGAUCGGCCACAUUGGGACUGAGACACGGCCCAACUCCUACGGGAGGCAGCAGGUGGGGAAUAUUGGGCAAUGGGGGAAACCCUGACCCAGCAACGCCGCGUGAGGGAAGAAGGUUUUCGGAUCGUAAACCUCUGUCCUUGGUGAAGAGAAAGAGACGGUAGCCAAGGAGGAAGCCCCGGCUAACUACGUGCCAGCCGCCGC
rnacentral:rRNA from 1 species